rnacentral:rRNA from 2 species
AGCGUACACGGUGGAUGCCCUGGCAGUCAGAGGCGAUGAAGGACGUGCUAAUCUGCGAAAAGCGCCGGCGAGGUGAUAUGAACCCUUGACCCGGCGAUGUCCGAAUGGGGAAACCCAGUGCAAUCCGUUGCACUAUCGUUAACUGAAUACAUAGGUUAACGAGGCGAACCGGGGGAACUGAAACAUCUAAGUACCCCGAGGAAAAGAAAUCAACCGAGAUUCCCCCAGUAGCGGCGAGCGAACGGGGAGCAGCCCGGAGUCUGAAUCAGCUUGUGUGUUAGUGGAACGGUCUGGAAAGUCCGACGGUACAGGGUGAUAGUCCCGUACACGAAAAUGCACAUGCUGUGAACUCGAAGAGUAGGGCGGGACACGUGGUAUCCUGUCUGAAUAUGGGGGGACCAUCCUCCAAGGCUAAAUACUCCUGACUGACCGAUAGUGAACCAGUACCGUGAGGGAAAGGCGAAAAGAACCCCGGCGAGGGGAGUGAAAAAGAACCUGAAACCGUGUACGUACAAGCAGUGGGAGCCUCUUUAUGGGGUGACUGCGUACCUUUUGUAUAAUGGGUCAGCGACUUAUAUUCUGUAGCAAGGUUAACCGUAUAGGGGAGCCGAAGGGAAACCGAGUCUUAACUGGGCGUUAAGUUGCAGGGUAUAGACCCGAAACCCGGUGAUCUAGCCAUGGGCAGGUUGAAGGUUGGGUAACACUAACUGGAGGACCGAACCGACUAAUGUUGAAAAAUUAGCGGAUGACCUGUGGCUGGGGGUGAAAGGCCAAUCAAACCGGGAGAUAGCUGGUUCUCCCCGAAAGCUAUUUAGGUAGCGCCUCGUGAACUCAUCUUCGGGGGUAGAGCACUGUUUCGGCUAGGGGGCCAUCCCGGCUUACCAACCCGAUGCAAACUACGAAUACCGAAGAAUGUUAUCACGGGAGACACACGGCGGGUGCUAACGUCCGUCGUGAAGAGGGAAACAACCCAGACCGCCAGCUAAGGUCCCAAAGUCAUGGUUAAGUGGGAAACGAUGUGGGAAGGCACAGACAGCCAGGAUGUUGGCUUAGAAGCAGCCAUCAUUUAAAGAAAGCGUAAUAGCUCACUGGUCGAGUCGGCCUGCGCGGAAGAUGUAACGGGGCUAAACCAUGCACCGAAGCUGCGGCAGCGACACUAUGUGUUGUUGGGUAGGGGAGCGUUCUGUAAGCCGUUGAAGGUGUGCUGUGAGGCAUGCUGGAGGUAUCAGAAGUGCGAAUGCUGACAUAAGUAACGAUAAAGCGGGUGAAAAGCCCGCUCGCCGGAAGACCAAGGGUUCCUGUCCAACGUUAAUCGGGGCAGGGUGAGUCGACCCCUAAGGCGAGGCCGAAAGGCGUAGUCGAUGGGAAACAGGUUAAUAUUCCUGUACUUGGUGUUACUGCGAAGGGGGGACGGAGAAGGCUAUGUCAGCCGGGCGACGGUUGUCCCGGUUUAAGCAUGUAGGCGGAGGUUCCAGGUAAAUCCGGUACCUUGUUAACGCUGAGGUGUGAUGACGAGGCACUACGGUGCUGAAGUGAUAAAUGCCCUGCUUCCAGGAAAAGCCUCUAAGCAUCAGGUAACACGAAAUCGUACCCCAAACCGACACAGGUGGUCAGGUAGAGAAUACCAAGGCGCUUGAGAGAACUCGGGUGAAGGAACUAGGCAAAAUGGUGCCGUAACUUCGGGAGAAGGCACGCUGAUGUGUAGGUGAAGCCCCUGCGGGCGGAGCUGAAAUCAGUCGAAGAUACCAGCUGGCUGCAACUGUUUAUUAAAAACACAGCACUGUGCAAACACGAAAGUGGACGUAUACGGUGUGACGCCUGCCCGGUGCCGGAAGGUUAAUUGAUGGGGUUAGCGGCAACGCGAAGCUCUUGAUCGAAGCCCCGGUAAACGGCGGCCGUAACUAUAACGGUCCUAAGGUAGCGAAAUUCCUUGUCGGGUAAGUUCCGACCUGCACGAAUGGCGUAAUGAUGGCCAGGCUGUCUCCACCCGAGACUCAGUGAAAUUGAACUCGCUGUGAAGAUGCAGUGUACCCGCGGCAAGACGGAAAGACCCCGUGAACCUUUACUAUAGCUUGACACUGAACACUGGUCCUUGAUGUGUAGGAUAGGUGGGAGGCUUUGAAGCGUGGACGCCAGUCUGCGUGGAGCCAACCUUGAAAUACCACCCUUUAAUGGCUGGUGUUCUAACGUAGACCCGUAAUCCGGGUUGCGGACAGUGUCUGGUGGGUAGUUUGACUGGGGCGGUCUCCUCCCAAAGAGUAACGGAGGAGCACGAAGGUUGGCUAAUCCUGGUCGGACAUCAGGAGGUUAGUGCAAUGGCAUAAGCCAGCUUGACUGCGAGCGUGACGGCGCGAGCAGGUGCGAAAGCAGGUCAUAGUGAUCCGGUGGUUCUGAAUGGAAGGGCCAUCGCUCAACGGAUAAAAGGUACUCCGGGGAUAACAGGCUGAUACCGCCCAAGAGUUCAUAUCGACGGCGGUGUUUGGCACCUCGAUGUCGGCUCAUCACAUCCUGGGGCUGAAGUAGGUCCCAAGGGUAUGGCUGUUCGCCAUUUAAAGUGGUACGCGAGCUGGGUUUAGAACGUCGUGAGACAGUUCGGUCCCUAUCUGCCGUGGGCGCUGGAGAAUUGAGGGGGGCUGCUCCUAGUACGAGAGGACCGGAGUGGACGCAUCACUGGUGUUCGGGUUGUCAUGCCAAUGGCACUGCCCGGUAGCUAAAUGCGGAAGAGAUAAGUGCUGAAAGCAUCUAAGCACGAAACUUGCCCCGAGAUGAGUUCU